GAUGAAGAACGUAGCGAAAUGCGAUAAGUAAUGUGAAUUGCAGAAUUCAGUGAAUCAUCGAAUCUUUGAACGCACAUUGCGCCCGCCAGUAUUCUGGCGGGCAUGCCUGUUCGAGCGUCAUUUCAACCCUCAAGCUCUGCUUGGUGUUGGGACUCGCGGUAACCCGCGUUCCCCAAAUCGAUUGGCGGUCACGUCGAGCUUCCAUAGCGUAGUAAUCAUACACCUCGUUACUGGUAAUCGUCGCGGCCACGCCGUAAAACCCCAACUUCUGAAUGUUGACCUCGGAUCAGGUAGGAAUACCCGCUGAACUUAAGCAUAUCAAUAAGCGGAGGA
rnacentral:misc_RNA from 1 species